ACAGGUUUGAGGGUAGUUCAAAUAUGUUCUAUACGUUUGUGGAUUUUUGUGCUGCCAGCCACUCCCGAACUAGUGCUUUUGUAAAGCUGACCUAACGAUAGAGUGGAUGGACAUGUUUUUGGGAUUUUUAGGUUCUUAGUUACGAAGGAGAAGAAAUGAAAUCCAGUUUUAGGCUUGCGUUCGGCUUGAAAAAAACUUGUCCCAAGCAUAGUAACCAUAGUAACCACGGAGACAGCUAUGAGAGAAAGAGUUUGUAUGUUCUUUCUACUUUCUAAGGAUUUUUCAACUCAGGUAUAUGAGACACUGAAUCAGAGUAAUGAACUACUACUUUUUGUCUCUUUCUAUCGUGUCAUUUCUCACUGCCGAAGUUUCAUCUCGCUCCAGUCAAACAUCGCACCCAAUGGCAUGCCUCUUUUACUUGAGUUUCUCAUGAAUUCAAGUCCACAAGGAAUGCCUCGGCAACAGCAAGAUCAACGAAACCAUCAUCAAACUCAACUGCUGUGUUUUGACUCAUUGUGUAAUUAUUUUUUGUCUCUUACAGAUCCAGUAUUUGAAGUCUCUACACUUAGCCAACCAUCAACAACCAUGAAUCUAGUGUUCCCUUCUUUGCCAGCAAUCAUCAAUUAACGUCAGCAUCAUAGCAUGACAUCAUCAUUUUCAUAUACCAUCUCAAUAAUUUGCAGCCUUUACUGCUCUUCUUAGGCUGACAACAUGUGUACUGUUGUGCCAGCCUUUUUUAUACUUUUCAUGCCAUCGCCUCAUUAUGAACUGUCAAGUUUUUAUUUGCAUUUACGUUCAAAAAACGCCGUCCAGUAGUUAUCAUGCCUCCGUAGGGGAUUUAAAACAUAAUGCCCACAGCCGAGUGAAAGAGGGCAUCUCGUAAUCUUUGCGGAUCCAAAACAGCUGACGGCGAUGGCAUUAGUGCAACGUGAAACUUCUCGUCUGUUUUGGUAUUGUUUGUGUGUGUGUGUUAUUUGUGUGAGUUAACCCGUUGGCUGCCACCCAUUUUGCUCCCAUUUUUUUUUUAGCUGUAGGGACUGCGCGCACUGCUCUGCCCUAUGGGGUAGGGCAGUGCUCCGCCGCAAGGCGGUUAGGCAAUGCACCAGUAGGGACUUCUCCUUGUUCGAUGCGGUGAUGGUUUCCUGAGGGUGUGCAUUCCCUGUAAAGGUUUCCAUCGCCGUGUCACCCCGGACUUGUCUUCGGACAAGUCCCACUAGAUCGUGGAUCCUUCUGACAACGAUGCGUAGAUUGUAGAAAACAACCUACGGGUUGAAUGGCCUGGCAGCCAACGGGUUAACUCAGUGUAUGUGUGUUUGUAUUGUAAUGUACUGUAUUUAAUUGUAUAACUAUGUAAUUGGAAACAGUGGUGGAAUUGUGGGACGGAGGUGGGAUAAUAAAUGAAAUUCCAUUUA